AUGUGAUGAUAGAUGAUUGGUUCAUUCAUCUAUUAGACCUCACUGUCAAUCAUUCACAAGGACAGCUUCAGUCCAGUAUGUCAGACGAAGAAGUAGAGAAGUUUGAAGUGACUGAUUAUGAUUUGGAAAAUGAAUUCAAUAUUAACAGACCAGGUCGCCGAAUAAGCAAAAAUAAACAAAUUUAUGGUAUUUGGGCUGAUGAUAGUGGAGAUGAAGAUGAUGCGGGAGGUGGCUCAAGGCCAAGUUUUCGAGGUGCUGGCAGGAAAAGCGGAAAACAUAACUAUUCAGUACCUGUCAGCUUUGUCCCGGGAGGAGUACAACAGGCAGGCAAACAGAAAACGCCAAAGAGUGAUGCUGUGAGGGAUGCAGGUGAUGACAGUGAAGAUGCUGAUGAUGAGAAAGAUGGUGAAGCAAGUAGAAGUGGCAGGAAUGAGUCUCCUAAUUUAUCUAGUGAUUCAGAGGAUGAUAGCUCACGACGUGGUUCAGGAAAAUCACAGUCCCUAAAGCAGCGUGCAGUGAACCUCGAUGGUGAAAUAGCUGGCCUGCGGAAGAAGCGUCCCAUUUUAAACCCGUCACUUCUGAAUAAGGGGGUGGGAAGUUGGGAGAAACAUACUCGUGGCAUUGGUGCCAAACUUUUGCUUCAGAUGGGCUUCCAACCUGGAAAAGGUCUGGGUAAAGAUCUUCAGGGUAUUGCAGCACCUGUUGAAGCUCACCUAAGGAAAGGAAGAGGAGCAAUAGGUGCGUAUGGUCCAGAGAAAAUUCAGAGAGUGGCUGAUGUCCAAGCAGACUCAGAGGAAGAGGAAGCAAAAGAAUUUGUAAAAAAAUUGUCCCAGUGGAGAAAGGGCGAUGUUAGUAACAAGAAAAAGAAAGUUUGUUACGUGUAUAAGAGUGUCGAUGAUGUGUUAGAACAAGGCAAAACGUAUGGAAAUACCAGGAAAGAGUACAGCCAUUUGAGCAAAGUAAAAGUGAUUGACAUGACCGGUCCACAACAGAGGGUGCUGAGUGGCUAUCAUGCUAUUGCCGGACAACAGCGCCCCGCAGAUGAGUGGGAACUCCGGAAAGACAAGAAGUUCGUCAAUUUUGCUUUACCCAAGCUACAGCACAACCUCAAUCUCCUGAUGAACAUGUGUGAGCAGGAUAUCAUACAGAAUGAUCGCAAGUUGAGGUAUGCUAGUGACCGCAUCAUCAUGCUGGAGCAGGAGGAGUUUUCGCUGAGCAAGGUGGUUGAACAACAGACUCGACAUAUAACGACACUGGACACCGUGCUCAGUACAGUCCAGAAAUUGAUUGACCAAAGUAAUGACAAGACUGAUCCACUCAGAGUAGACAAAGCUGCGGAAACCUUCAGGGAAUUGCAGGAAAAAUACUACGAGGAAUAUCGUCUCUAUGAGCUGAGUGACUUGGCAUCAAAACUUGUUGGGCCGCUUUUGAAGGAUCAACUUAACAAAUGGUCACCACUUGAAAAUCCUCAGGAGCCAAUGGCAUUAUUCAAACAGUGGAAGGACAUCCUUGAAGAUGGACAGCUUCACACACUUACCAAUAUAUCAACACAAGAUCCAUACUAUCGCUUAAUAUGGCAGGCCUGGAUGCCCAGCGUUAGAACAGCCAUCAACACUUGGAACUGUCGAACUUGUGAACCACUUAUUGAAUUUCUGGAACUGUGGCUUCCGUUGGUUCCCCCGUGGGUGCUGGACAAUGUUCGUGACCAGUUCGUUCUGCCCCGAAUUCAGCAUGAGGUGGAAGAGUGGAACCCCAUGACGGACACUGUGCCCAUCCAUGCGUGGAUUCAUCCCUGGUUGCCAUUGCUCGGAAACCGCCUAGAGACAACUGUGUAUCCAGUGAUUCGCCACAAGCUUAGCAAGGCGCUCGUCAGCUGGCAUCCAUCCGACAGAUCCGCCAAACUGAUGCUUGUGCCCUGGCAUGGAGUAUUCUCACGAGGUGACAUGGACGCAUUUCUUGUCAAGAAUAUAGUACCAAAACUACAACUUGCCCUGCAAGAGCUGGUUAUAAAUCCACAUCAACAACAUCUAGAGCAGUGGAACUGGGUAAUGGACUGGCAGGAUUUGUUACCAGUACACACUUUGGCGUCACUGCUUGAAAGAUACUUCUUCCCAAAAUGGCUGCAGAUACUCACUAUGUGGCUGAACCACGCGCCGAACUACGAUGAGAUUACGAACUGGUACGUCGGCUGGAAGGGCAUGGUUUCCGAGCCACUGCUGGUCCAACCCGCAGUCAAAGAACAGUUCCGCAAAGCUCUGGACCUGAUGAACCGUGCUGUAACGGCACCAGGCCAAUCAAUGGCACACCAACCAGGUGCAGUUGAAUCGGUGUCGUAUCUUACCAACCUAGAACAGACGUCUUCUGCGACACCACCCCCAGCCCAGAGGGCGAGAGAAACAAGAUACGAGAUGCUCGCCGAAGCUGUUCGAACGGCAAGUCAGAUUCCACAGGGUUUCAAAGAGUUAAUUCAGAAGCGUUGUGAGGAGAGAGGCAUCCUGUUCAUGCCGUUGCCUAACCGAUACCGCGAAGGGAAGCAAAUAUAUCGCUGUGGUAAAAUACAGAUCUAUAUUGACAGAAGUGUCGUGUUUGUGAGUGACAGUGGCACGAUGUGGAACCCCGUGUCGCUCAAUAACAUGCUGGAUAUGGCUGCCUGAUGUCAUCUUUCUGGAUUAAGACGUUCCAUCUCCGUGUAUUUCAUCAGGCGUUCUUCAGUCUGUCGACGUUUCUUCCUUCAGCUUCAUAAUUUCAGUUUCGUUACAGUACCAUUUUAUUUCGACUCGACACAAUAAACACGUGUCAUAUUUGAGGUUCUCGCAUCAGCGAAGAUGACGUAAUUUUUCUGAGCUGUGAUGCCACGGACACUCACAGGUAAUUGGCAUUUCAGAGAAACGUCGACCCCCAUCGCGACCUAGAAGAAUGUUGUGGUCAUAAAGACUUUUCCACGAUUUUCCUUUUCUGGUUUAAGUGUUUUACGAUGUUUUUUUAAAGCUGAAAAAUAAAAAUUGUUCUGUCUGUGGCUUUUAGGUGAGAGACAACACUA